UACGUAGGGACCGAGCGUUGUCCGGAUUCAUUGGGCGUAAAGAGCUCGUAGGCGGUUCAGUUAGUCGGGUGUGAAAUCUCCGGGCUCAACCCGGAGGGGCCACCCGAUACUGCUGUGACUCGAGUCCGGUAGGGGAGUGGGGAAUUCCUGGUGUAGCGGUGAAAUGCGCAGAUAUCAGGAAGAACACCCGUGGCGAAGGCGGUUCUCUGGGACGGUACUGACGCUGAGACGCGAAAGCGUGGGGAGCGAACAGG
rnacentral:rRNA from 1 species